rnacentral:rRNA from 1 species
UACGUAGGGGGCAAGCGUUGUCCGGAAUUAUUGGGCGUAAAGCGCGCGCAGGUGGUGGAUUAAGUUGUGGGUAAAAGGCAAUGGCUCAACCAUUGUAAGCCUGCAAAACUGGUUCACUUGAGUGCAGGAGAGGGGAGUGGAAUUCCCGGUGUAGCGGUGGAAUGCGUAGAGAUCGGGAGGAACACCGGUGGCGAAGGCGGAUCUCUGGGCCAUUACUGACGCUGAGGAGCGAAAGCGUGGGGAGCGAACAGG